rnacentral:pre_miRNA from 1 species
GGGUCCUGGGCUGUGUCCCGGCGCCCUGUGCUCUGGAGCCUGCGCUGUUGGAUUCACGCUCCCGCCC